GUGGAUUAGAUACCCUAGUAGUCCACGCUGUAAACGAUGAAUACUAGGUGUGGGAGGACUGACCCCUUCCGUGCCGCAGUUAACACAAUAAGUAUUCCACCUGGGGAGUACGACCGCAAGGUUGAAACUCAAAGGAAUUGACGGGGGCCCGCACAAGCAGUGGAUUAUGUGGUUUAAUUCGACGCAACGCGAAGAACCUUACCAGGACUUGACAUCCAACUAACGAAGUAGAGAUACAUUAGGUGCCCUUCGGGGAAAGUUGAGACAGGUGGUGCACGGCCGUCGCCAACU
rnacentral:rRNA from 1 species